rnacentral:rRNA from 1 species
UACGUAGGCAGCGAGCGUUGUUCGGAGUUACUGGGCGUAAAGGGUGCGUAGGUGGUUUUGUAAGUAACAUGUGAAAGUCCUGGGCUUAACCUGGGGAUUGCAUUCGAGACUGAAUAGCUAGGGUGCGGUAGAGGGAAGCGGAAUUUCCGGUGUAGCGGUGAAAUGCGUAGAUAUCGGAAGGAACAUCAGUGGCGAAAGCGGCUUCCUGGACCAGCACCGACGUUCAGGCACGAAAGCGUGGGGAGCAAACAGG